GAUGAAGUACGUAGCGAAAUGCGAUAAGUAAUGUGAAUUGCAGAAUUCAGUGAAUCAUCGAAUCUUUGAACGCACAUUGCGCCCGCCAGUAUUCUGGCGGGCAUGCCUGUCUGAGCGUCAUUUCAACCCUCAUGCCCCUAGGGCGUGGUGUUGGGGAUCGGCCAAAGCCCGCGAGGGACGGCCGGCCCCUAAAUCUAGUGGCGGACCCGUCGUGGCCUCCUCUGCGAAGUAGUGAUAUUCCGCAUCGGAGAGCGAUGAGCCCCUGCCGUUAAACCCCCAACUUUCCAAGGUUGACCUCAGAUCAGGUAGGAAUACCCGCUGAACUUAAGCAUAUCAAUAAGCGGAGGA
rnacentral:misc_RNA from 1 species